AAGCCCUGAUACCGUUGGGGUACUUCUUCAAAUUUGCAUUUUGAUGUGUUACACACCUCCCGGCUG
rnacentral:tRNA from 1 species